UACGUAGGGUGCGAGCGUUGUCCGGAAUUACUGGGCGUAAAGCGCGUGUAGGCGGGAGAUUAAGUUGGGUGUGAAAGCCCGGGGCUUAACCCCGGGUCUGCAUUCGAUACGGGCUAGCUAGAGUGUGGUAGGGGAGAUCGGAAUUCCUGGUGUAGCGGUGAAAUGCGCAGAUAUCAGGAGGAACACCGGUGGCGAAGGCGGAUCUCUGGGCCAUUACUGACGCUGAGGAGCGAAAGCGUGGGGAGCGAACAGG
rnacentral:rRNA from 1 species